CGAAAUUCGUUGAAGAGAACAACGCUGUUUUUGAACAGAAUGGUUCAGAGAGCCUGCGGUUGGUGUGAGCAGGUGCAUUUUCAAUAACAGAUAUCCUCUCUAAGAUGCAGACUGAACAUUAUCUGACAUUUUUUAUUUUUUCUAAUCAGUAGGUCUCGCCGGAAUCCUCCGUUAAAAGGAAAGCGUAUGACAGUACGUUAAGAGCUGUAAUUUUAUUACAGAAUUUGGGUGGUAACGCGGAUUUUUUCGUCCCUUUU
rnacentral:ncRNA from 1 species